GUCGCCGCUGUGCCUAGCCGCCGUCAUCGCUGCUAGAGGUGGGUAGCCGAGACUCUGCCGCUGGAGAACACAGCUGCCAUCGCCGGGGAACACUGCCGUUGAUCCACCGGAGCUUCUGGCCGCUAUUGGAGCUGCUGCCGGGUCAAUUUGGGGUUAUGGCUGGUCGGUUCUACUAUUACCAUAAGUAUAUUUUAUUUCAAACCCUCACUGUUAGUAUUCCGUUAUAAAUUAUUGAGAAUUUCGCGAUGUUAAUAUCUCAGGGUUGAGUUUCGGAAAUUGUAUGAUAAAAAAUAAAAGCUAUUGCGAGGCCUUCUCACUUCGUUUCUCGUGGUUAGACUAAUUGGUUUCGUUCUUGUUACUGCGAUACUCUAUUAACAAUUAUGUUCUACUUUCAUUUAAUAUCCAUUUCGCAUUAAUCCCAAUUUACGUCAGAUAAGUCGUCAUUGCUGUGAACCUUGAUUGUCGCUGUUGAUAUUGUCUGGGAAUCAAUGAGCUUGCUGCCGCAAGUUAGGAAUAGAAAGAUGGCUCUUGACGCAUUAACCUUUAAGGAGUUCGACUUUGUGGUAGGGGCUUUUCUAAAAACUAAUUUAUUUAAAAUUUGAAUUUUUAUAAAUAGAUAUGAUAUGAGAAAUGCCUUUCUGGUGAUGAUGUAAGUCUUAUGAAUUGUUUGAUUUGUCUUGGAGGAAUUUCAUUAUUUGUUUGACUGGGAUAUUGUCUGAUUUUGUUAAAUUGGGAAUUUCUGAUUGGUUUGAUUUGAAAGGAUUUUUAAUAUUUGAAAUUCUGAGUUUUGGUUUAUU